AUGUCAGGAAGAAUGGGCAACUGGACUAUUCUAGGUCCUCAGCUCCCGCAUGGACCUGCCCUUCCCUGCUCUCCUGUCCAACCAGGCAGACCAGGUGACCACGUGGCACAGGCAGGGAGGAGAAAUUAUGCCAUCAUCUCUCACCAGCCCGGGACGGGUGCCUGGUGGUGGCUGCCCCUGCUCCCCGAGGUGAGGGCUGUGUUGUUUGGACAGCUGUUUCGUGCAGGCUCUGAGAUCUGGGGCGGGAGUCUGUGGUCACUUAUCACCGCGUCCAAGCAGGGGAGCUCAGAGGAGGACGGGGGGGGGGUGGUGCCCUCAGAUCACAUCUCCUCCUCCCUCUCCGGAGACCUCAGAUGUGGAAUCCCUUGGGUUCUUCAUGGACCACUACAAGAUGCAUCUUUUUCUUUUUCUUUUCUUUUCUUUUCUUUCUUUCUUUUUUUUUUUGGAAGGAUUUUAUCUAUCUAUUCAUGAGAGACAGAGAGAGAGGCAGAGACACAGGCAGAGGGAGAAGCAGGCUCCAUGCAGGGAGCCUGAUGCAGGACUCGAUCCCGGGACCCUGGGAUCCACCCAGGUGUCCCAAGAUGUAUGUUUUCAAAUGGCUGCUAAUUGGAGGCGUCUCCUCCUAGUAGACUAGAAUUCCAGGUAAUAAGAGAAAGUCAAAUGGGUAAGGGUCAAUUUACUCUGCAGGCAAGGGUCCCAUGGGCAGCUCCCACUGCAGCUGUUCUACUUCUCCAACCAUCUCUCCUCUGGCCGGGCCCCCUCCGGGGCUCCCCAGGGCUCUUGGCACAACCCAGAACCACCUCCCUGUGUGUCCCAGGUGUUUCUGGAACUCUGGAGUUAGGGGCUCAGUGGCCAGUGUUUAGGAAGGCACCGUAGUGGUAUAUAGGGAGCUGGCCCACCUCCAGCAGGGUUGGCUCGAGGAGGUUAUUGAGGAUCACCUGGCACUAGGAACUGUGGUUGGGAUUGGGCUGCACCCCUGAACUUUGGCGAGGUUCUGACAGCCCUUCCCCCAACAAUUUAGAUUUGAAGCAAGGGGGGACUCAUCCCUGCACACGUGGCUGCCCUCAGCCUCAGGGCACCAGGCCCUGGUUCCAUUUUCAUGCUGCACCUCUGCAUCCCACCGACAGCAAAGCCGCAUCCGAGGGCCCCGGCCAGCGGAGCAUGUAAGAUUAGAAUCCACCC
rnacentral:lncRNA from 12 species